rnacentral:sRNA from 1 species
UGUUUGUUCAUAGUCAGUUAUAGAUCAAAUUCCUUGUUCAACUCUUUCCCCCUUCUCACUACUGUACUUGACUAGUCUUUA